GAUGAAGAACGUAGCGAAAUGCGAUACGUAAUGUGAAUUGCAGAAUUCAGUGAAUCAUCGAAUCUUUGAACGCAUAUUGCGCUCUUUGGUAUUCCGAAGAGCAUGCUUGUUUGAGUAUCAGUAAACACCUCAAAGCUUUUGGAUUUUUUAAUCGAAAAGCUUUGGACUUGAGCAAUCCCAACACCAAUCUUUUUGAGAUCGGUGGCGGGUUGCUUGAAAUGCAGGUGCAGCUGGACAUUCUCCUGAGCUAAAAGCAUAUUCAUUUAGUCCCGUCAAACGGAUUAUUACUUUUGAUGCAGCUAACAUAAAGGGAGUUUGACCGUAUUGGCUGACUGAUGCAGGAUUUCACAAGGGUCGGCAACGAUUCUUGUUAAACUCGAUCUCAAAUCAAGUAAGACUACCCGCUGAACUUAAGCAUAUCAAUAAGCGGAGGA
rnacentral:misc_RNA from 1 species